rnacentral:rRNA from 1 species
UUUCUYCAUUUAAUUUUUAYUUUAAUUCAACAUCGAGGUCACAAACACUUUUAUUAAUAAGAUCUUACUAAAAAUAUUAUGCUGUUAUCCCUAAGGUAAUUAAUUCUUAUAAUAAUUAAAUAUUUAUUCAAACCAAUCC